CGUGACAAAAUCCUGUUACGGUGGCACGCGAGUCGGAAUGGGGUCGGGUUCGAGACGUGGGUGAACGGGGUGCAUUGGUCAUCGGGAAAGUUGUUGAGUGAAGAAAUUCCGGGCACUUCAAACAGAUAUAAAGGUGGUACUGAACCACCAUUCCCUUCCUCAGAAAGGCUCCCCGUAGCGAAACCUCCGGCUUUCGAAUCAACCUUUCGACUCAGGAGUCGACGGCGUUGGUAUGUCGCCGGAGAAGAGGUCUCAGUCCAGCCCAACCGGCGGGCCUAGCGGGGCUGCAAAGCGCUCCAAGCAAGGCGACCCGUCACAGCUUGACGAACCGUCUCCACAGAACAGUCUGUCAUCGGUGUCGGAGAUUUCGGUCAAACAGGAAGUAGCAACGAGUCCGGAAGCCACCAUGAGUGCGUGCCGCUGUACCAC
rnacentral:lncRNA from 1 species